GAAGGUCACGGCGAGACGAGCCGUUUAUCAUUACGAUAGGUGUCAAGUGGAAGUGCAGUGAUGUAUGCAGCUGAGGCAUCCUAACAGACCGGUAGACUUGAACCUUGUUCCUACAUGACCUGAUCAAUUCGAUCAGGCACUCGCCAUCUGUUUUCAUUGCUCAUUGUUCAAAUCCUUGACAACACGAAAAAACAUUGUUCAACUCUUUUUUGAUUUUGACAACAUGAAAAAACCAAAAGCUCUGCCCUUCCAUCCCUUAGAUAGAGAGGGGGGGGCAG
rnacentral:rRNA from 1 species